UUGUAAUGAAUUCUUUCACAGAAAAUCCAAUAUUUAUUAUUUCUUAAUAAAAGGUUUCAGCAAAGAAAAGGACAGUUUUAUGUGACAGGUUUUUGGUUUUUUUUGUAAUUCACUUGUAAAACAAUACACAGAUAGGCCUAAAUGAAACAUACAAACAAUAUCAAAGCAGCUAUAGUGGUACCUCAGGUUCAGGUCUGUUCUUAACCUGAAACGGUUCUUAACCUGAGGUGUGCUUUCGCUAAUGGGGCCUCCUCCUGCUGCUGCGCUGCUGGUGUGUGAUUUCCGUUCUUAUCCUGGGUCAAAGCUCUUAACCUGGAGCAACCACUUCCUGAAUAGCAGAGUUUGUAACCCGAAGCGUCUGUAACCCGAAGCGUCUGUAACCCGUGGUACCACUGUACUCUAUUCCGAACUUAUAAAUAGAAAGCGUAAUGCUGGUGGUCAACAAAAGAGGUUUAAAGACUCUCUCAAUGCAAAUCUAAAAAAAUGUAGUAUAAAGACCGACAAUUGGGAAACACUGGCCUGCAAGCGCUCCAGUUGGAAAACAGCCUUUGCCAAAGGUGUCCCGGGCUUUGAAGACACUCGAACUCAGGACACAAGGGAGAAACGUGCUAAGAGGAAGGCACGCUCGGCAAAUCCACACCGUGAUCAACUCCUGCUCAGAAACCAAUGUUCCCACUGUGGAAGGACGUGGGGAUCCAGAAUUGGCCUCCACAGUCACUUACAGGCUCACUGUUAAGGCUUGGAAGACAAUCUGUCUCUCUUUUGAGGCUCUUUCCCUGCAGUUGGCUGGGCAUUCUUGCCUCACUCUUCUUCUCCAGUCCAAGCCAGGAUGCCUGGGGUCAUGUUGGGUAGCAAGAGGGUCAGAGUGGGGCAGGCAAGAUGUCUCUGGGGGCCUCAUGGGGCCCACAUCCCCUGAGAUGGAUCAAGGUUCCCGUGACAAAGGCAGGUUCCUCACACCCCUCGUUCUGCAGAAGAACAGGAAAAGAGCCUGCAGGGGCAGGGUCAGGACUGUGACACAUCUAGUCCACCUCCUGGUCUCAUGGUGGCUGACCAGAGGCCCCUCGAGGGAAACCUGCAAGCAGGAUCCAACCCCUCCUGCGGUCUCAAUAGCAACUGGGGCUCAGAAGCACUGUUUCCUCUGAUCAGAGGUGGACUUAGUAGUAGUAGUAGUAGUAAUAAUAAUAAUAAUAAUAAUAAUAAUAAUUUAUUAUUUAUACCCCGCCCAUCUGGCUAGGCUUCCCUAGCCACUCUGGGUGGCUUUCAACAAAGAUCAAAACUACAUUAGAACAUCAGUCAUUUAAAACUUCCCUAAACAGGGCUGCCUUCAGGUGUCUUCUAAAAGUCAGAUAGUUCUUUAUUUCCUUGACGUUUGCUAGGAGGGCGUUCCACAGGGCAGGCGCCACUACUGAGAAGGCCCUCUGCCUGGUUCCCUGUAACCUCACUUCUUGCAGUGGGGGAACCGCCAGAAGGCCCUCAGAGCUGGACCUCCAUGUCCAGGCUGAACGAUGGGGGUGGAGAUGCUCCUUCAGGUAUACUGGGCCUUUGGGGCUGUUUAGGGCUUUCAAGGUCAGCACCAACACUUUGAAUUGUGCUUGGAAACAUCCUGGGAGCCAAUGUAGGUCUUUCAAGGUGUUAUGUGGUCUCGGCGGCCACUCCCAGUCACCAGUCUGGCUGCCACAUUCUAGAUUAGUUGUAGUUUCCGGGUCACCUUCAAAGGGAGCCCCACAUAGAGCGCAUUGCAGUAGUCCAAGCGGGAGAUAACCAGAGCAUGCACCACUCUGAUAAGACAGUUUGCAGGCAGGGAGGGUCUCAUCCUGAGUACCAGAUGGAGCCGGGAGACGGCUGCCCUGGAUAGGGGAGAGCAACUGGUGUGGUUGCUCUGGGAGCCACUCUGGGUGUGUGGUGUCGUUUCUGGUGUGGAGAAGUUCAGCUGAGAGUCACGUCACCACAGAACAUUUCCUCUUUUUCAGAGGUCUGUUUUGAUGAGGCAGGAGAAUCUAUAUUCUUCUUUUGCUGUUCUGGCAGGAAAUGGAGGCUUCACUCUAUCCACGCACAUGAAGUCACCCAAACUGAAGUCACCCAGGGGGAGAAAAGCCCUGAUCUCCCCCCACCAGCCCCCUAGUCCAGCUGCCAUCACCACCACCACCAUCAUUUGACUUGUAUGCUGCCUUUCCACAGUUUAAACAACGCUCAAGGCGGCUUACAGUCUGAAAAGAUUUACAUAUUUACGAACAUAGCAAAGUACAGUGGUACCUCUGGUUGCAAACAGGAUCUGUUCCGGAGGCCCGUUCGCAACAUGAAAAGAGCGCAACCCACAGCAGCGUGUCUGCACAUGCACGGGUUGUGAUUUGCUGCUUCUGCGCAUGCACGUGACGUCAUUUUGUGCGUCUGCGCAUUUGUGAGCGGUGAAACCCGGAAGUAACCCUUUCCGGUACUUCCGAGUCGCCAUGGGACGUACCCUGAAAGAACGUAACAUGAAGCAAACGUAACAUGAGGCAUGACUGUAGUCAUAAAAAUAAAGAAAACACAUCAAAGACUACAUAACCAAACUGAACAAUUUCCACAUAAAAAUAAAGAUACAAAAAUUAAUAUCAAGAAAAGCAACCCCCCCUGACAAAACUUCCCCCCAAAUACCCCUUGCUGGGCAGCAGCAGCAGGCCCCCCCCAGGUGGAGAGAGUCCAGCUGUCCUCUUCACAUGCAAAAAAGGGGCUGCAGGUGCACACCUGAGAAAGGUGAGGGACCUGGGCAACAGGCUCUGGCGUCCCCUUGGUCAAAAAGAGCCAGGGGUCACCCUUUCCGUGGGAAUGUUGUGGAUAGUUUUGUUGUUGUUUAGUCAUUUAGUCGUGUCCGCCUCUUUGUGCCCCCCUGGACCAGAGCAUGCCAGGCACUCCUGUCUUCCACUGCCUCCCGCAGUUUAGUCAGACUCAUGCUGGUAGCUUCGAGAACACUGUCCCACCAUCUCGUCCUCUGUCGUCCCCUUCUCCUUGUGCCCUCCAUCUUUCCCAACAUCAGGGUCUUUUCCAGGAGUCUUCUCUUCUCAUGAGGUGGCCAAAGUCUUGGAGCCUCAGCUUCAGGAUCUGUCCUUCCAGUGAGCACUCAGGGCUGAUUUCCUUCAGAAUGGAGAGGUUUGAUCUUCUUGCAGUCCAUGGGACUCUCAAGAGUCUCCUCCAGCACCAGAAUUCAAAAGCAUCCAUUCUUCGGCGAUCAGCCUUCUUGAUGGUCCAGCUCUCACUUCCAUACAUCACGACUGGGAAAACCAGAGCUUUGACUAUACGGACCUUUGUCGGCAAGGUGAUGUCUCUGCUUUUGAAGGUGCUGUCCAGGUUUGUCCCUGCCAUCUGGGGACGGUCUUUGAGGACACUCCUGCAGCAGGGCGGUCCGCGGAUUCCCCCAAAGGGAAAUGCAGGCGAUUCUCCCCCGUUGGCCUUUUGGGCUCCCGAAAACAGGCUUCGGGUUGUCCGGGCUGCCUGCCUGGCUCCUUGCCCGCCCCGGCGCAUCUCUCCGCCCGUCUCUUGGCUUUGAGCCUCAGGCGCGGUCAAAGGGGGCUCCGUUGGGCAGACCCCCCCUGCACGCGCCCCCAGCCCCACUCUAGCCGUGGGGCUUCACGUGCACAGCGCCCGUCGGGACCGAGCGGAGCCCGCGAGCGAAGCAGCCCCGAAGUCUCCCGAGGAGCCCGGCAGCUGCCCGUGCGCGCGCUCCUCUGCACGGCUUCUCG